UGGGGAAUAUUGGACAAUGGGGGCAACCCUGAUCCAGCGAUGCCGCGUGAGUGAAGAAGGCCUUCGGGUCGUAAAGCUCUUUAGGUUGGGAAGAAGGGUAUGCGGGGAAUAUCCGUGUACUUUGACGGUACCGACAGAAUAAGCACCGGCAAACUCUGUGCCAGCAGCCGCGGUAAUACAGAGGGUGCGAGCGUUAAUCGGAAUUACUGGGCGUAAAGGGCGCGUAGGCGGUUAUAUGUGAGUGAUGUGAAAGCCCCGGGCUUAACCUGGGAAGCGCAUCGCAGACUAUAUGACUGGAGUAUAUGAGAGGGUGGCGGAAUUUCCGGUGUAGCGGUGAAAUGCGUAGAGAUCGGAAGGAACGUCGAUGGCGAAGGCAGCCACCUGGCAUAAUACUGACGCUGAAGCGCGAAAGCGUGGGGAGCGAACAGGAUUAGAUACCCCCGUAGUCC
rnacentral:rRNA from 1 species